rnacentral:rRNA from 1 species
GACGAACGCUGGCGGCGUGCUUAACACAUGCAAGUCGAACGGAAAGGCCCUGCUUUUGUGGGGUGCUCGAGUGGCGAACGGGUGAGUAACACGUGAGUAACCUGCCCUUGACUUUGGGAUAACUUCAGGAAACUGGGGCUAAUACCGGAUAGGAGCUCCUGCUGCAUGGUGGGGGUUGGAAAGUUUCGGCGGUUGGGGAUGGACUCGCGGCUUAUCAGCUUGUUGGUGGGGUAGUGGCUUACCAAGGCUUUGACGGGUAGCCGGCCUGAGAGGGUGACCGGCCACAUUGGGACUGAGAUACGGCCCAGACUCCUACGGGAGGCAGCAGUGGGGAAUAUUGCACAAUGGGCGGAAGCCUGAUGCAGCAACGCCGCGUGCGGGAUGACGGCCUUCGGGUUGUAAACCGCUUUCGCCUGUGACGAAGCGUGAGUGACGGUAAUGGGUAAAGAAGCACCGGCUAACUACGUGCCAGCAGCCGCGGUGAUACGUAGGGUGCGAGCGUUGUCCGGAUUUAUUGGGCGUAAAGGGCUCGUAGGUGGUUGAUCGCGUCGGAAGUGUAAUCUUGGGGCUUAACCCUGAGCGUGCUUUCGAUACGGGUUGACUUGAGGAAGGUAGGGGAGAAUGGAAUUCCUGGUGGAGCGGUGGAAUGCGCAGAUAUCAGGAGGAACACCAGUGGCGAAGGCGGUUCUCUGGGCCUUUCCUGACGCUGAGGAGCGAAAGCGUGGGGAGCGAACAGGCUUAGAUACCCUGGUAGUCCACGCUGUAAACGGUGGGUACUAGGUGUGGGGCCCAUUCCACGGGUUCCGUGCCGUAGCUAACGCUUUAAGUACCCCGCCUGGGGAGUACGGCCGCGAGGCUAAAACUCAAAGGAAUUGACGGGGCCCCGCACAAGCGGCGGAGCAUGCGGAUUAAUUCGAUGCAACGCGUAGAACCUUACCUGGGUUUGACAUGGAUCGGGAGUGCUCAGAGAUGGGUGUGCCUCUUUUGGGGUCGGUUCACAGGUGGUGCAUGGCUGUCGUCAGCUCGUGUCGUGAGAUGUUGGGUUAAGUCCCGCAACGAGCGCAACCCUUGUUCACUGUUGCCAGCACGUUAUGGUGGGGACUCAGUGGAGACCGCCGGGGUCAACUCGGAGGAAGGUGGGGAUGACGUCAAGUCAUCAUGCCCCUUAUGUCCAGGGCUUCACGCAUGCUACAAUGGCUGGUACAGAGAGUGGCGAGCCUGUGAGGGUGAGCGAAUCUCGGAAAGCCGGUCUCAGUUCGGAUUGGGGUCUGCAACUCGACCUCAUGAAGUCGGAGUCGCUAGUAAUCGCAGAUCAGCAACGCUGCGGUGAAUACGUUCCCGGGGCU